rnacentral:rRNA from 1 species
AGGACGAACGCUGGCGGCGUGCCUAACACAUGCAAGUCGAACGCGCUCCAUUCGGUAGCAAUACUGAUGAAGAGCGAGUGGCGAACGGGCGAGUAGCACGUGAGCAACCUGCCCCGAAGACUGGGACAACACCGGGAAACCGGUGCUAAUACCGGAUAUCCCUAUCGGACCGCAUGAUCUGAUAAGGAAAUGGAUUCCGCUUCGGGAGGGGCUCGGCGGCCUAUCAGCUAGUUGGUGAGGUAACGGCCCACCAAGGCGACGACGGGUA